rnacentral:rRNA from 1 species
UGGGGAAUAUUGCACAAUGGGCGCAAGCCUGAUGCAGCGACGCCGCGUGGGGGAUGAUGGCCUUCGGGUUGUAAACUCCUUUCGCUAGGGACGAAGCUUUUUGUGACGGUACCUAGAUAAGAAGCACCGGCUAACUACGUUCCAGCAUCCGCGGUAAUACGUAGGGCGCGAGCGUUGUCCGGAAUUACUGGGCGCAAAGGGCUCGUAGGUGGUUUGUCGCGUCGUCUGUGAAAUUCCGGGGCUUAACUCCGGGCGUGCAUGCGAUACGGGCAUGACUUGAGUACUGUAGGGGUAACUGGAAUUCCUGGUGUAGCGGUGAAAUGCGCAGAUAUCAGGAGGAACACCGAUGGCGAAGGCAGGUUACUGGGCAGUUACUGACGCUGAGGAGCGAAAGCAUGGGUAGCGAACAGG